ensembl:lincRNA
UGGAGGAGAGAAUGCCAAACCACCGGAAGACCAGUCAUGUGGGCUUUCCGGGGCAGCAGGUACAUCUGGGCCCUCUUCAAAGGCUUGUGGAUGCCAUCACCUCAGCGUGAAAUCCUUCGACUAUCCAGUGACAUCCUAGGUUUUCCUGCAACGAUCUUCCAUUUCAUGGAAUGAAUGCCAGUGAAUGACUAGUCAGGCCCAGAAUAGGAAGUGCUGACUGUUUACGUGGAACAAUGCUUAUGACACAUUGUUGAGUGAUGAAGGAGGAACUCAGGACAACGUGACUCCAGUGAUUGUCAUCAUCCACCUCCGCCAUGUAUAAGAAAGUGGAACUGAGUCAUAUCCUACUGCACCAAGCAGCCCUGGUUGAUGGUUUUAGUACUGUUUAUUUUCUAUUACCACAGCAAUACUGGCUCUUUCACUCACUCCUUGUGGGUCUCUGAGCAAAUAAAUAAACUGUGUUUUAGUUUGGGGGAUUAUAAAGUAUAAAUUUGAGAUGUUGAUUUGUAGUAUGAUAGCUUUGACUAUUUGUGAAACAAAAUGGGCUCAUUAGUGUUUUACCACCAAAAGCGUCAAGGAAAAUCCUCAUAACCAAUAGGUACUUAAGUCAAAUAUACAUGCCAUGUUAUUCAGACUCAAAAUGCCAGUGCCAUAAUUUCUGUGAGUUGGUGCCACAAUGGGUAAGGCCAGGGCAAUGUGAAUGUGCUAUCCAUGGUUCUUGAUGACAGCUAGAUUGCAUAAUCAAACAUCUAUAUUACACUAAGGAUGCAUCAUUCUUAUUCAUAGUGUACUUUUUUCUUUUUUAAUUUUUAUUUUCUUGAUUUUUGGGAAGAUUAUGCUUUUAUUAUUUUUUUCCAUUUUAGAAAUUACUUUUCUUUUUUUACUUUCUGUGUGUGUGUGUUUGGGGGGGUGGUGUGAUAAAGCUUAGAUGGCAUGAAGAUGGAGGCCAGAGUGGGUUUUCUUUUCUCCUAUCAUGUGGGCUCUCCAGGCUUGAAAGUAAGUAUCCUUAUUCAUGGAGCUAUCUCUCCAGUCUGAUAUUUAUUAUUCUUCACUACAUACCAGAGCAAUUCCAGUUAAGGUUGCAAUUUGUACACUCCUCUGCGUGCUAUCUCCACUUAAAAAAAUCUUCUUCUGAGUUAUUGUGAUGUCAAGCCUCCCACUUGGACCAUUGUGAAUAUCUACAGUUAGCUUUAUUUCAUCCCAGCUCAACCGGGAACGGGUAGAUGACACACUGCUAAAAGGUAGGAAUAAAGGAAGUGGCCUGGACAAUUUGUCGGUGAAGGAUUAAGUGAACAAGGUCAGUCCUGAGGAUGGCAGCCACUGAAGGUUCAGGCUGCUGGUUCCUCCAUCAUGAUGAAGCUAAGAGAAUCCUAUGUCUAACUUGGAAGGCAAACAGAAAACAUAAUGCAAAGCUUGCCUUCUUUCUAAGGGGCUUUCUGAUGUAACUAUUCCAACAGAAGAAAAAAAAAAUUUCAAGACAGGGUUUCUCUGGAGCUUUGAAGACUGUCCUGGAACUCUCUCAGUGAACCUGACUGGCAGAGAACUGCCUGCCUUUGUCCCCCUAGUGCUGGAAUUAAAGGUGUAUAGCACUGCCAGGCCGAACAGAAGAUAUUUUUAUCUGACUAGGACCAUCUUCUUAUAAUAACGAGUUGAUCAAAACAGCAUUUUUCUUAAAAUAUCAGAGCAGCCUCAAAGCACUUGCCCUAACUCAGACAUGGCCCAGUAAGAAGACAUUGUAUGGAUCUUCUCUGAAGGUCAAAGUUUGUAGGUGUACCUGGAUAUG